CCUGGUGACAAUGGCGGAGAGGCCACACCCGUUCCCAUACCGAACACGGCAGUUAAGCUCUCCAGCGCCGAUGGUACUGCGUAUAUACGUGGGAGAGUAGGACGUCGCCAGGA
rnacentral:rRNA from 1 species